UACGUAGGGUGCGAGCGUUAAUCGGAAUUACUGGGCGUAAAGCGUGCGCAGGCGGUUUUGUAAGACCGAUGUGAAAUCCCCGGGCUCAACCUGGGAACUGCAUUUGUGACUGCAUCGCUGGAGUGCGGCAGAGGGGGAUGGAAUUCCGCAUGUAGCAGUGAAAUGCGUAGAUAUGCGGAGGAACACCGAUGGCGAAGGCAAUCCCCUGGGCCUGCACUGACGCUCAUGCACGAAAGCGUGGGGAGCAAACAGG
rnacentral:rRNA from 1 species